UGAGGAAUAUUGGUCAAUGGGCGAGAGCCUGAACCAGCCAAGUAGCGUGCAGGAUGACGGCCCUAUGGGUUGUAAACUGCUUUUAUGCGGGGAUAAAGUGCGCGACGUGUCGUGCAUUGCAGGUACCGCAUGAAUAAGGACCGGCUAAUUCCGUGCCAGCAGCCGCGGUAAUACGGAAGGUCCGGGCGUUAUCCGGAUUUAUUGGGUUUAAAGGGAGCGUAGGCCGCCAGAUAAGCGUGUUGUGAAAUGUACCGGCUCAACCGGUGAAUUGCAGCGCGAACUGUUUGGCUUGAGUGCACGGUAAGCAGGCGGAAUUCAUGGUGUAGCGGUGAAAUGCUUGGAUAUCAUGAAGAACUCCGAUUGCGAAGGCAGCUUGCUGCAGUGCGACUGACGCUGAUGCUCGAAGGUGCGGGUAUCAAACAGG
rnacentral:rRNA from 1 species